UGCCCCACUCCCACUAUCAUUUUCCAUGUUCAAUGGACCGUGAUAUUGGAUAAAAAAUAUAAUUAGGCAUUAAAAUUAGAAAGAUAAUAUCAUAGGGAACAUCUGUACUAAGUUUCAAGUUGAUUGGACUUCAACUUCAUCAAAAACUACCUUGACCAAACACUUUAACCUGAAACAUGCACUUUCAUUUUCUAUGUUCAGUGGACCGUGACAUUGGGGUCAAAAGUUUAAUUUGGCUUUAAAAUUAGAAAGAUCAUAUCAUAAGGAACAUGUGUACUAAGUUUCAAGUUGAUUGGACUUCAACUUCAU
rnacentral:lncRNA from 1 species